ACCCAGCUGACGAGUCACAAAUACGAUGAAACACGCGUUCUGGAU
rfam:Schistosoma haematobium scaffold327_15, whole genome shotgun sequence.